rnacentral:lncRNA from 1 species
AUAAUCAUUUCUUAUUUCUCUAUUUUUGUGUAACUUGGUAUAGUAUUGAAGAUUCAUGAUGGAGAUGAACUUUCAAUUGCUCAAUAGAUUGCGUUGGAAACAAAGAGAUUUAAGAUAUUUUUGAAUGUUGUUGAUUAAAUUAUGAAUGUGAAUGGCACGAUGUAGAUAGUCAUAGUACUCCCUGAUUCGGUUAGUAUAUAAUAAUACUCUUCUCUAUAUAUUUUCGUCACAUUCGUUUCACUUUAUGGUAUAUUCAUACUUUUCUCUGUAAACGUGAUCUUUUAAAGUAGGCGUCACUUGCUUAUCAAAAAGAGCAGGCUUCACAGAAAUUAUCUUCUUUUUUUACCUUUCGUUGCUUUCUUCCCUUCAUUUUUUCCUUGGGGGUAAAAUGGUUAGUAAAUUAAGAGAAUCAUAUAAUAAUCAGGUACUUUUUCCUUUUUAAUGCUUUAUCAUCUAUCUUUUUGGUUACUUAUUUUGGUUUAAGAGUACUCUAUAGUUUUUAUUUCUACAAUGAUCUGCGAUUGCGUACUUUUCUACAGGACCAAAGUCGUCUAUGUCUCUAAUAUAAGCUCUCUUUUUUCUAUUUGGACAUGAAUUAGGAUUCUCAGUUAAAGCUGGUGGUGUUGCCGUGAUAUUUUACAGGUUUGUUAUGUGAAGUGAAAGAAAAAAUGAGAUGUGAUGGUGUAAUGAAAAAGAAACCAAAAGAGUGAAGAAUGUGAAAAAAUAAACGGGAGAAGGGGAGAGUGCUAUUUUGUAAUGUCGGUGAUGAUAUAGUGAUAUGUGGUGAAGAUUUGGUUUUCGUGCAGUUGUGAGUGAUUACUUGCUUGUGCUCCUUAGGCUAUUGCAACAAUCAACGAUGGAAAGGGAAUCACAUUCCAAUUUGAUAGAGCAACCUCUUUUUGAAAAAGUUUCUAACCUUCAAGGUUCUAUAUCCUAUACUUUUUAGUCUUUGAGGAGAUGAGGCUAAGUGCUGG